rnacentral:lncRNA from 1 species
GCUGAACAGGCCAUCAGGCAGCCUGCCAUGGGGCCCUGCUCCAAGAACAGGUCCUUCUGCCGGGCAACUGUGCUCCUGGUAUUCAUCAGCCUCCUCCUCACACUGUUCUAGGAAAAACCCCGGAAAGAAACAGGAGGGGCCCAUCAAUUCAGGAACAAUUGAACAAGCUGAGGAGUAUCUGUUCCAUGGCAUAUGACAGAAGCUUACAAAAGCAAAUGUUCUAGUUAUCUGAAAGGAAUGUUCAGCUUCCAUGAGGUAAGAUGCGUAGAUUCCCAUCAGCAAGAUUCAAGAACCUGAAUACAAUGCAAUCUUCGUUUUAUAAAAGGAAACACAGCCAUCAAAAUUUAAGUGUUUAUACA